CCUACGGGAGGCAGCAGUGGGGAAUCUUGCGCAAUGGGCGAAAGCCUGACGCAGCCAUGCCGCGUGAAUGAUGAAGGUCUUAGGAUUGUAAAAUUCUUUCACCGGGGACGAUAAUGACGGUACCCGGAGAAGAAGCCCCGGCUAACUUCGUGCCAGCAGCCGCGGUAAUACGAAGGGGGCUAGCGUUGCUCGGAAUUACUGGGCGUAAAGGGAGCGUAGGCGGAUAGUUUAGUCAGAGGUGAAAGCCCAGGGCUCAACCUUGGAAUUGCCUUUGAUACUGGCUAUCUUGAGUAUGGGAGAGGUAUGCGGAACUCCGAGUGUAGAGGUGAAAUUCGUAGAUAUUCGGAAGAACACCAGUGGCGAAGGCGGCAUACUGGCCCAUUACUGACGCUGAGGCUCGAAAGCGUGGGGAGCAAACAGGAUUAGAUACCCUGGUAGUCCACGCUGUAAACGAUGAGUGCUAGUUGUCGGCGAUGCAUGCAUGUCGGUGACGCAGCUACGCAUAAGACGACUCCGCCGUCGGGGAGGUACGGUCGCGAAGUAAGUUAAACGUUACGAAAGUAAAGUUAGUUACGGCGUUGAGACGNGCCGACGGACGACGACGAGGGAGGAGG
rnacentral:rRNA from 1 species